GACGAACGCUGGCGGCGUGCUUAACACAUGCAAGUCGAACGGAAAGGCCCAGCUUGCUGGGUACUCGAGUGGCGAACGGGUGAGUAACACGUGGGUGAUCUGCCCUGCACUCUGGGAUAAGCCUGGGAAACUGGGUCUAAUACCGGAUAUGACCGACUGUCGCAUGGUGGUUGGUGGAAAGCUUUUGCGGUGUGGGAUGGGCCCGCGGCCUAUCAGCUUGUUGGUGGGGUAAUGGCCUACCAAGGCGACGACGGGUAGCCGACCUGAGAGGGUGAUCGGCCACACUGGGACUGAGACACGGCCCAGACUCCUACGGGAGGCAGCAGUGGGGAAUAUUGCACAAUGGGCGCAAGCCUGAUGCAGCGACGCCGCGUGAGGGAUGACGGCCUUCGGGUUGUAAACCCCUUUCACCAGGGACGAAGCGUGAGUGACGGUACCUGGAGAAGAAGCACCGGCCAACUACGUG
rnacentral:rRNA from 1 species